rnacentral:rRNA from 1 species
UUAAGCGACUAAGCGUACACGGUGGAUGCCCUGGCAGUCAGAGGCGAUGAAGGACGUGCUAAUCUGCGAAAAGCGUCGGUAAGGUGAUAUGAACCGUUAUAACCGGCGAUUUCCGAAUGGGGAAACCCAGUGUGUUUCGACACACUAUCAUUAACUGAAUCCAUAGGUUAAUGAGGCGAACCGGGGGAACUGAAACAUCUAAGUACCCCGAGGAAAAGAAAUCAACCGAGAUUCCCCCAGUAGCGGCGAGCGAACGGGGAGCAGCCCAGAGCCUGAAUCAGUGUGUGUGUUAGUGGAAGCGUCUGGAAAGGCGCGCGAUACAGGGUGACAGCCCCGUACACAAAAAUGCACAUGCUGUGAGCUCGAUGAGUAGGGCGGGACACGUGGUAUCCUGUCUGAAUAUGGGGGGACCAUCCUCCAAGGCUAAAUACUCCUGACUGACCGAUAGUGAACCAGUACCGUGAGGGAAAGGCGAAAAGAACCCCGGCGAGGGGAGUGAAAAAGAACCUGAAACCGUGUACGUACAAGCAGUGGGAGCCUCUUAAUGGGGUGACUGCGUACCUUUUGUAUAAUGGGUCAGCGACUUAUAUUCUGUAGCAAGGUUAACCGUAUAGGGGAGCCGCAGGGAAACCGAGUCUUAACUGGGCGUUAAGUUGCAGGGUAUAGACCCGAAACCCGGUGAUCUAGCCAUGGGCAGGUUGAAGGUUGGGUAACACUAACUGGAGGACCGAACCGACUAAUGUUGAAAAAUUAGCGGAUGACUUGUGGCUGGGGGUGAAAGGCCAAUCAAACCGGGAGAUAGCUGGUUCUCCCCGAAAGCUAUUUAGGUAGCGCCUCGUGAAUUCAUCUCCGGGGGUAGAGCACUGUUUCGGCAAGGGGGUCAUCCCGACUUACCAACCCGAUGCAAACUGCGAAUACCGGAGAAUGUUAUCACGGGAGACACACGGCGGGUGCUAACGUCCGUCGUGAAGAGGGAAACAACCCAGACCGCCAGCUAAGGUCCCAAAGUCAUGGUUAAGUGGGAAACGAUGUGGGAAGGCCCAGACAGCCAGGAUGUUGGCUUAGAAGCAGCCAUCAUUUAAAGAAAGCGUAAUAGCUCACUGGUCGAGUCGGCCUGCGCGGAAGAUGUAACGGGGCUAAACCAUGCACCGAAGCUGCGGCAGCGACACUAUGUGUUGUUGGGUAGGGGAGCGUUCUGUAAGCCUGCGAAGGUGGCCUGUGAGGGCUGCUGGAGGUAUCAGAAGUGCGAAUGCUGACAUAAGUAACGAUAAAGCGGGUGAAAAGCCCGCUCGCCGGAAGACCAAGGGUUCCUGUCCAACGUUAAUCGGGGCAGGGUGAGUCGACCCCUAAGGCGAGGCCGAAAGGCGUAGUCGAUGGGAAACAGGUUAAUAUUCCUGUACUUGGUGUUACUGCGAAGGGGGGACGGAGAAGGCUAUGUUGGCCGGGCGACGGUUGUCCCGGUUUAAGCGUGUAGGCUGGUUUUCCAGGCAAAUCCGGAAAAUCAAGGCUGAGGCGUGAUGACGAGGCACUACGGUGCUGAAGUAACAAAUGCCCUGCUUCCAGGAAAAGCCUCUAAGCAUCAGGUAACAUCAAAUCGUACCCCAAACCGACACAGGUGGUCAGGUAGAGAAUACCAAGGCGCUUGAGAGAACUCGGGUGAAGGAACUAGGCAAAAUGGUGCCGUAACUUCGGGAGAAGGCACGCUGAUAUGUAGGUGAAGUCCCUUGCGGAUGGAGCUGAAAUCAGUCGAAGAUACCAGCUGGCUGCAACUGUUUAUUAAAAACACAGCACUGUGCAAACACGAAAGUGGACGUAUACGGUGUGACGCCUGCCCGGUGCCGGAAGGUUAAUUGAUGGGGUCAGCGCAAGCGAAGCUCUUGAUCGAAGCCCCGGUAAACGGCGGCCGUAACUAUAACGGUCCUAAGGUAGCGAAAUUCCUUGUCGGGU